rnacentral:lncRNA from 1 species
AUGCUCCUUUGUAGGAUGUGGCAUGAAUUCAGUUGCCUCAUCAUUCUAAUCAAAAAGUUGUUUUAUUUUUAUCUUUUGAAGGAUCAUCACUGCAGGUCAAAGCCCCAGAUGGAGAAUGUCCUCAUAGUCUGCCUUAUCUGCAAUGGAAGCGUCCUUAUGACAUGCUCACUCCAAAUAAUUUGCCUGAGCUUUCAUUUUCCCUUCUUUGGCUACUAUUUGCACACGAUGGCUUCUCAACCCAGAAAAUGAAAAGCUGUGGAUUCCUUCCAGACUAAAAUGGUUUGAUCAAGCAAGACCCUCUGAAGCAGGGGCCCAACUAAUCCUGCAUCCAAAGCAGCUGAGAUGAUGCAGCCAUAGAUGACUACAGCCAGAUUUCUGUAUUUUAUCAUGAUCACCAUGAUAUGGACAUCGCCCCUCACUAGGAAGAAGUUUGGAAUGAACAAUGCCCAAAUUCCCAAAUAUUGUUUAUAAAUGUUUGUUUUCAUUGAAAUAGGGUUGGUUAUAAAUAGUAAUGAUCACAUUCAAUCUCUUUUUAAAGGGAAAAAUGGGGAAUAGGAUAUGGAGAUAAAUACUUUACAUUGUUAUCCAUUUUUAUCUAUU